rnacentral:rRNA from 1 species
UACGGAGGAUCCAAGCGUUAUCCGGAAUCAUUGGGUUUAAAGGGUCCGUAGGUGGAUAAUUAAGUCAGAGGUGAAAGUUUGCAGCUCAACUGUAAAUGAUCCUUUGAUACUGGUUAUCUUGAAUUAUUAUGAAGUAGUUAGAAUAUGUAGUGUAGCGGUGAAAUGCAUAGAUAUUACAUAGAAUACCAAUUGCGAAGGCA